UACGGAGGGUGCAAGCGUUAUCCGGAUUUAUUGGGUUUAAAGGGUCCGCAGGCGGACUAAUAAGUCAGUGGUGAAAUCUCUCGGCUCAACCGAGAAACUGCCAUUGAUACUGUUAGUCUAGAGUGUAGUUGGCGUAGGCGGAAUGUAUCAUGUAGCGGUGAAAUGCUUAGAUAUGAUACAGAACACCGAUCGCGAAGGCAGCUUACGAAACUACAACUGACGCUCAGGGACGAAAGCGUGGGGAGCGAACAGGAUUAGAUACCCUGGUAGUCCACGCUGUAAACGAUGAUUACUCGUUGUCGGCGAUAUACUGUCGGUGGCUAAGCGAAAGUGAUAAGUAAUCCACCUGGGGAGUACGAUCGCAAGGUUGAAACUCAAAGGAAUUGACGGGGGCCCGCACAAGCGGAGGAGCAUGUGGUUUAAUUCGAUGAUACGCGAGGAACCUUACCUGGGCUUAAAUGCUUAAUGACGUACUGGGAAACUGGUAUUUCUUCGGACAUUUUGCAAGGUGCUGCAUGGUUGUCGUCAGCUCGUGCCGUGAGGUGUCGGGUUAAGUCCCAUAACGAGCGCAACCCCUAUUGUUAGUUGCCAUCAGGUCAUGCUGGGGACUCUAACAAAACUGCCCGCGUAAGCGUGGAGGAAGGUGGGGAUGACGUCAAAUCAGCACGGCCCUUACGUCCAGGGCUACACACGUGCUACAAUGGCCGGUACAGAGGGCAGCCACUUGGUGACAAGGAGCAAAUCUCAAAAGCCGGUCUCAGUUCGGAUCGGAGUCUGCAACUCGACUCCGUGAAGUUGGAUUCGCUAGUAAUCGUAGAUCAGCAAUGCUACGGUGAAUACGUUCCCGGGCCU
rnacentral:rRNA from 1 species